UGGGUAGAGCAGUUUGGUAGCUCGUAAGGCUCAUAACCUUGAGGUCACGGGUUCAAAUCCUGUCUCCGCAA
rnacentral:tRNA from 3 species